UCGACGAGGCGAUUAUCAAGAGGGCGCGGAACGUAAAGAACGCGACAUCGCUUUGCUAGAACCGAAGUCUUUGGAUAGCAAUUUUGUUAUGUUUCAGGUGUAUAGUAUCGAAUGUAACGGACUUCUAUCCUUGUUCCAGAAGUCCGCGAGUACAGAAAGAAGGAACCAAUCAGUAGUGCUGCAGUAGCCGAGUCCUAGAGUGUAAUUAUGUUUUGUCAAACGGUUUUAAAUAUUUUGUUUAUACUCUGAUAUGUAUAAAGGCUUUAGACUGCGCUUUUAAACCGUUUAUAUAUAUGUAAGAAACAGGGCAUUGCUUGAUAUAA